UGGAAAGCUGCCCCAAAGAAUGACUUUGCUGAUUUAUUCUAGCAUCUUUGUUUCUAUUGAAAUAUUUUGUUUGACAUUUUUUCUGACAAGAUGGGAAAGGAAGAGGAAGGAGGAAGAGCAAUAAUGAUUUUUAAAAAGCAUCUAGUGUCCCUGGUGGUUGCAACUCUGUGUGGGCUUAGCUUUUCCAGCUGCCUCUGAAUUUCAGUAGCAAAAAUAGCCAUGAACACAGUCUUGGCUGAGUUCCCCAGUGUGGGACUCUUUAAAAGAAAUUUCAUACAUCAUUUACAGCCUGCUGCAGUGAUUGCACGAUGCAGCCCAUCACCUCCGGAGGAGGAGAGCUGAGAGGAGAGGCUGUGACACUUGCUGGGAAGCUGUCUGCCAUCCUCCCCGUCUCAGACAGAAAUGGAACAAGACACUUGAAAGUGACACAAAAGGUCGGGCUCUGCCGCGAGAGACUGCUGCAUCGAAAAUUCCAGAAACUGCUCUGCUCCCUCUACAAGCCAGGAUGUGCCUGUGACCCGGAGCUGAGUCUGCUCCUGUCCAGAUUGUCUGCACCUUGGACUUCCAGCCUGGGGAGCUGUGGGAGGUGUCUACCACAUGACUUGCCAGGGCAUGGCAGCUUCUCUUUUCAUGUUGGACACAGAAGUGGACACUCACCUCCACCCCGAAUUCCUUCUGGAGGAGCUGGUCCUUCCAGGCUCUGAGGCGCCCAGGUGUGCCUGUCCCUGGCUGGUUAGGUAACCAUGACCUGCAGCAGAAGACAUGUCUGCUGUCUUUUCCAGGUCAUAUAUUUACUUAUUUCCACUGUGGCUGACACAAGAAUGCGACUCAAGGUUUAGGGAGAUCAAAUCCCAAGUUUCCUCUUGAGUUCUCAGGACUGUGACCUGCAUCUCCCAUUCCAUUCACUGUCUAGAUCAGUGUGUGACCAUUUGAAACACCCCAAGAUUCCAUCCACUCAGAGAAGACUCCCAGGGCAGGGUGGUGGGGAGUAGAGAUCCCUGUUCUCCCAGAGCCCACUCUGUGAGCCCCUUAAAAGAAGUGAUGGAGCUUCUGCCCCUCAGCAGUCUACACAGUUGCUACGCCAGAAAGGCCAUGCUGACCAAGGAAGUUCUCAAUUCUUCCUGUGCAUUCUCUCUCCUGCUGAGAUUACAGGUCUGCAUCCCAGUGCCCAGCUAGUGCUGGGUAAUUUUAGACAUGACCUGGCCCUCUGAAGCAACAGUGGAUUUGCUCACCUUCUGUUGUGGUUAAUACACUGUGUCAACUGAAAAAGUCUAGAAGCUUAACUAAGUAACUCAGCAGUUUUACACCCUAGGCUGUAUGGGACAUGCCCUUACCACUCUAGGAUGUUGUCCAUUGUGUCAAUUUGAGAAGGUUAGAAGUUUAAUUAAGUGACUCAGCAAGGGUCCAGGGUCUUCACUUUGUAAACAUCCUGAGCCUGUGCAAGAGGAAGGCAUGGAGAUGGUAUGAGUGCUAAACCCACCCAAGGGGUUGGUAGCCCAAUGACAACAUAAGGGAGGGAAAGAGGCUUGCUCUCCCCAACUUUUCCUCUUGUUGUUUUUGCUGUCUUCUGCCAUUAUGAAUUGUGGCCCCCGUGCUGUCCCCGACUGCCUUGGAGCCAGCUGAUUACACAAUGAAACCUCCACACACUGUGAGCUAAAUAAACCUUUCCUUCCUUAAUUUUGGGUGUCAGGCAUUUUGUCUCAGCAACGAGAGAAAAGUAACUAAGACACCUUCCCAAAUUACAGAGUUGCCUCCUUUUAGAAGUGGUCCUGAGCAAACCAAGCUUGCAUUUUUCCACAGCCUCUUGCACCCAACACCAACCAAAUUCUGCAGUAAGCUUCCCCUGGCUAGAGGCCAAUAUAUUUACAUUAAAUACAAGUAGUAAAUUCAUUAGAAAGGAUUUAGAACUGAUUUAGUAUGUGAUAAAUAUAUGAAGAGAUAAUCUCUCUGGGCUACCUGUAUUUUCAAUUUGCAUAUUACAUUAAAGUACAAAUUAAUCUGCUAAUGAAAGCAAUAUAAGUUUUAAGCUCAGUUAUUUAUUUAGUGAAAAACCACUUAUCGCCCUUAUCUCAGCAUUUACUUAUUUUCCAAAAUGUCAUAAAGGUUUUAUGUUCCAUAUGUGUACUCAUAUUUGUAAAGUUAUUACAAACUAAAAUUCAAAUUUGACUUUAAUUUAUCUGACCUAAGGGUAAAAGUAAAAUUUUAACAUACUCUAAUUUUUCAGUCUAUUUAUCAGUAACCAAGGUCUAUAACCUCACAAUGGUACUUUUUAAAGAAAAAUGUACUAUUCUGUUUAGAAGGCUAAAACAGGCUCAUUAGAGUAACUUUAGGCAGUAGAAGAAAAUAAAAAUCACAAGUCAUAAUCUGAUCCCUCAAAAAUAAUCCCUAUUUGGCUUAAGAGAAAUAUGUAAAACUGUUGUAGUUUAUAAAGGUGGACAGUAAGCUCCCCAGAGCUCCUUGUGCAGUGGUGUACAAACCCAGGGGCUUGCCCAAAGCCGGGAACAAGAACUUGGCUCUGUCCUGGGCAGAUAUCAGGAAAACAUCUGAAGUUAUUGUUAAAAAAAGAUAUCACCUGCUGAAAUAUGGAAAACUAUUCCUCAUAAAUUAUUUUUAUCCCCUGAAGAUAUGCUAUAAAUCAUUUGAUCAAAAGAGAGUUUUCUUGUGAGGUUCAAGCUGCAAUGAGAUAAAAUAAUAAAUCAAAAAGAGUCGUCAGCAAGUGCCACCUUCGCCGCGGUCUGAAUUACACCUGGAUGACUGUUGGGCUUUUGGUGUGUGUUUGUCAGGUAGAUGCAACACUCUACAGCUGUUUAAAGCACAGAAUCCUUUAAAGAUUAAUUCUUUGUGUAGUUAGGUUAUCAGGGGCUUUCUAGUUGCUUCAAUGGCACACAGGCAUGCAUGAACACACACAGAGAAAC
ensembl:lincRNA